rnacentral:rRNA from 1 species
UACAGAGGUGGCAAGCGUUGUUCGGAAUUACUGGGCGUAAAGGGCGCGUAGGCGGUUUCGUAAGUCCCGUGUGAAAGCCCCCGGCUCAACUGGGGAAUUGCACGGGAAACUGCGAGGCUUGAGUUCGGGAGAGGGAAGCGGAAUUCCGGGUGUAGCGGUGAAAUGCGUAGAUAUCCGGAGGAACACCGGUGGCGAAGGCGGCUUCCUGGACCGGCAUUGACGCUGAGGCGCGAAAGCUAGGGGAGCAAACGGG